rnacentral:rRNA from 1 species
CGUCAAAGCGUAUACAAAGUCGAGUCGGUUUAAGGAUACGUUCGUUGGGUAGGGGAGCGUUCUGUAAGCCUGCGAAGGUGGCCUGUGAGGGUUGCUGGAGGUAUCAGAAGUGCGAAUGCUGACAUAAGUAACGAUAAAGCGGGUGAAAAGCCCGCUCGCCGGAAGACCAAGGGUUCCUGUCCAACGUUAAUCGGGGCAGGGUGAGUCGACCCCUAAGGCGAGGCCGAAAGGCGUAGUCGAUGGGAAACGGGUUAAUAUUCCCGUACUUGGUGUUACUGCGAAGGGGGGACGGAGAAGGCUAUGUUGGCCGGGCGACGGUUGUCCCGGUUUAAGCGUGUAGGUGUGUGUUCCAGGUAAAUCCGGUUCACUUUAACACUGAGGCGUGACGACGAGGCACUACGGUGCUGAAGCAACAAAUGCCCUGCUUCCAGGAAAAGCCUCUAAGCAUCAGGUAACAUCAAAUCGUACCCCAAACCGACACAGGUGGUCAGGUAGAGAAUACCAAGGCGCUUGAGAGAACUCGGGUGAAGGAACUAGGCAAAAUGGUGCCGUAACUUCGGGAGAAGGCACGCUGACACGUAGGUGAAGUGAUUUACUCAUGGAGCUGAAGUCAGUCGAAGAUACCAGCUGGCUGCAACUGUUUAUUAAAAACACAGCACUGUGCAAACACGAAAGUGGACGUAUACGGUGUGACGCCUGCCCGGUGCCGGAAGGUUAAUUGAUGGGGUCAGCGCAAGCGAAGCUCCUGAUCGAAGCCCCGGUAAACGGCGGCCGUAACUAUAACGGUCCUAAGGUAGCGAAAUUCCUUGUCGGGUAAGUUCCGACCUGCACGAAUGGCGUAAUGAUGGCCAGGCUGUCUCCACCCGAGACUCAGUGAAAUUGAACUCGCUGUGAAGAUGCAGUGUACCCGCGGCAAGACGGAAAGACCCCGUGAACCUUUACUAUAGCUUGACACUGAACAUUGAGCCUUGAUGUGUAGGAUAGGUGGGAGGCUUUGAAGUGUGGACGCCAGUCUGCAUGGAGCCGACCUUGAAAUACCACCCUUUAAUGUUUGAUGUUCUAACGUGGACCCGUAAUCCGGGUUGCGGACAGUGUCUGGUGGGUAGUUUGACUGGGGCGGUCUCCUCCUAAAGAGUAACGGAGGAGCACGAAGGUUGGCUAAUCCUGGUCGGACAUCAGGAGGUUAGUGCAAUGGCAUAAGCCAGCUUGACUGCGAGCGUGACGGCGCGAGCAGGUGCGAAAGCAGGUCAUAGUGAUCCGGUGGUUCUGAAUGGAAGGGCCAUCGCUCAACGGAUAAAAGGUACUCCGGGGAUAACAGGCUGAUACCGCCCAAGAGUUCAUAUCGACGGCGGUGUUUGGCACCUCGAUGUCGGCUCAUCACAUCCUGGGGCUGAAGUAGGUCCCAAGGGUAUGGCUGUUCGCCAUUUAAAGUGGUACGCGAGCUGGGUUUAGAACGUCGUGAGACAGUUCGGUCCCUAUCUGCCGUGGGCGCUGGAGAACUGAGGGGGGCUGCUCCUAGUACGAGAGGACCGGAGUGGACGCAUCACUGGUGUUCGGGUUGUCAUGCCAAUGGCACUGCCCGGUAGCUAAAUGCGGAAGAGAUAAGUGCUGAAAGCAUCUAAGCACGAAACUUGCCCCGAGAUGAGUUCUCCCUGAGACUUAGAGUCUCCUGAAGGAACGUUGAAGACGACGACGUUGAUAGGCCGGGUGUGUAAGCGCAGCGAUGCGUUGAGCUAACCGGUACUAAUGAACCGUGAGGCUUAACCUU